ensembl:sense_intronic Gm42869 predicted gene 42869
UUUCCUUCCUUUCCCCACACUGCUCCAUGAAAUUAAGACAGUUAUAGGCAAUUAAAAAGCUUAGAAAGUUUGUUUCUAGUAGUCUUCUGUUCCUAGAAACAGAAAAGAAAAAAAUUAGUGUAUCAAUAGAAAAGACGGAUCUAUACAAAGGAAUGCACAGUGAAAUGUAUUUGAGUAACUAUAAAAGUGGUAUUUUUCUGUUCCUUUAAUUGCUAUUUUUUACAGUUUUUCCUAAGUUUUAUUUUUCUCAAGAAAUUAACUAUUCAAAGCAAAAAACCCCAGUAACUUGUAGAGUGUAAAAACCAUGAAAAGGAAAGCAUGACCACAGCAGCACAAGCUCUGUGUGCAGAUGUGGAGUACGGGUGCUGCUAAGUGUAUAUGAGGCGGCAUCUCACCUCAGUGACCAUCAUAAGCUGAAAAUAGCCUACUCAGCAGCAUAGCUGACCAGCAUAAUAUAUACAGUGUGUAUUGUUCACCCUUGUGGCUCUGUAGCUGAUUGAGUACUGUAGCUUGCUGCCACUAUACGUGACUACAUAUCCUUAGUGCAGGAAAAGGUCAGAACUCAGAAAUGAAGUAUGGUUUGUACGAAUUCAGAUUCUUUUAUACUGUCCAAAAGUCAAAAGUCUCAUGAAUUGAACUUUCAGAAAUCAUGGACUGUCUGUGCAUGGCAGUGUUCUCACGUUACAUGUAAAGUGCUACAAGGUAAUAUGUACUGUAUAAAUUAAUGAUACAUGUUAUCAUCCCUAGGGCAUCAUAGUUAGAAUGAAUUAAUAGAGACAGUACUGGCAUGUUAAAAACUACUGCAUUGUAACAAUGAUAAAAAAUUAACUUGACAGAGAAAGAAAACAAAGCACUGAGGAGUAGACUUAUGUUAGUGGAACUUGAUGUAAUAUCUUCACUAAGAAAAAAUUGGUUGUCUUUAUAAAAUUAAAAUAGAGUUAUAUACCUUAAAGUUAUCCUUUGGUUUACAUUCAUACAAAGUUCAUUUAUAAUUUUAUAAUAAAUUUGCCAAACUGAUUUACUCAAAUGUUGAUCAGUAAGUCAAAUCAUUGUCAUGCUUGUACAGUAAACACUGUUUAGCAAAACAAAGAAUUGAGCACUAACUCAGCAGUAAUCUCAAAUGCUGUGAGAUAUUUGAUCACACUGUGAAUCCUGAGAUUGUUAUAUAUUUACUGAAAAAACCUGUUUCUAGUUUGUGGCUCAGCCCUUAGUACACACCUUUUAUCCCAAACAAUGAAGAUAAGGUUAGUUUGUAGAAAAAGACACACCCAUGUUUGAAAGUGACGUCUAAUUGAGUGGAAGACAAAGUGAUGAAUCAGAGAAAGAUUAGAUAGAAUUGGGUAUGUCCAACUCUCGGGAGGUCAGAGAAAAGAGAGGCUACUUAAAGAGAGUAGUGCAGAGAAAAGAGGAGGCUGUUUUACUGGGAGAGGUUUUCAGAGACAGCAAAUAUUCUCUCCCAGCCCAGAGUCUGUCUCUUGCGUUGAUGUUUCCUUUGCUGUACAGAAGCUUUUACUGUGAUACAAUCUCAUUUGUCAGUUCUCGGUGUUAUUUCUGAGUUCCUGCAGUCCUCUUUAGAAAGUCCUUGACAAUACCUUUAUCUUGAAAUGUUUUCUCUCCUUAGCAUCAACUUUUAGAAUUUCUGGAUGUAUAGUAUAAUGUCUUUUAUUCAUGUUUAAUUUAUUUUUGUUCAAAAUGAAAAGUGUAUGUCUAUUUUGAUUUUUCUACAUGUGUUUGUCCAUUUUCCCAGCACUGUUUGUUGAAGAGGUUAUACUUUUCCUCAGUGUAUAUUACUGUAUAUAUUAUUUGCAUCUUUGUAAAAAAUAUGGUUCACAAUUAAUUGUAUGGAUUUAGUUCUGAGGCUUCUUGUCUAGUCUGUUAACUGUGUCUGCUUUGUACCUGUUGGAUACUGUUUUUAUUACUGUUGUUUUGAAGGGCAAUUCAAAAUUCAAAAUAUUCUCAGUAUUGUUCUUUUUGCUUAUGUUUGGUUUGGAUGUUUGCAAUCUUCUGUGCCUUCAUGUGAAUUUCUAGUUCUGUAAAAAAGGUUACUGGAAUUUUGAUGGUGAUUGUAUUAAAUAAGGUCAUUUUUGGUAAAACAGCUAUUUUUGCACUGUCAAUUUUACC